AGAGAGAGACAUGCGUGCAUAUCAAUAAGCGGAGGAAAAGAAACUAACUAAGGAUUCCCUCAGUAACGGCGAGUGAAGCGGGAAGAGCUCAAAUUUGAAAUCUUCAAGGUUCUACCUUGAGCGAAUUGUAGUUUAAAGAAGUGUUUUCUGUUGGAGUUUUGGUAAAAGUUCUUUGGAAUAGGACAUCAUAGAGGGUGAGAAUCCCGUAUUUGACCAUUAUUUCCAGCUUUGUGAUACACUUUCAAAGAGUCGGAUUGUUUGGGAAUGCAGUCCAAAAUGGGUGGUAAAUUUCAUCUAAAGCUAAAUACUGGCGAGAGACCGAUAGCGAACAAGUACCGUGAGGGAAAGAUGAAAAGAACUUUGAAAAGAGAGUUAAACAGUACGUGAAAUUGUCAAAAGGGAAGCGUUUGACACCAGUGUUGUUUUCUCGAAAAUCAAUUAAAAAAGGCAGGAUUUUGUGUUGUAUUGACUUUAUCAGCUUUCUGCACUCUUUUCUUGUCUUUUUUAAUGCACUUUUCGUUUAACAAGUCAACAUCAAUUUCUUUUGUUGUAAAAGGGUCAUUGGAAGGUGGCUUUCUUUUCGGAGAAAGUGUUUAUAGCCUUUGGCCUCUGCAAUCGGAGAGAUUGAGGUCUGCAGCGUAGAUCCUUCGGGGUUAGAUACAUUUGUGCUAAGUUAUAGCCUUUCAUAGACAACUUGUUGACUAUGAUCAGUCAUGUAGCUUACUCGCUUAUGCUAUUUUACCUACGCUUAGGAUGUUGAUGUGAUACUGCGAGCA
rnacentral:rRNA from 1 species